GACGAACGCUGGCGGCGUGCUUAACACAUGCAAGUCGAACGGAAAGGCCUCUUUCGGGGGGUACUCGAGUGGCGAACGGGUGAGUAACACGUGAGUAACCUGCCCUUGACUUUGGGAUAACUUCAGGAAACUGGGGCUAAUACCGGAUAGGAGCUCCUGCCGCAUGGUGGGGGUUGGAAAGUUUCGGCGGUUGGGGAUGGACUCGCGGCUUAUCAGCUUGUUGGUGGGGUAGUGGCUUACCAAGGCUUUGACGGGUAGCCGGCCUGAGAGGGUGACCGGCCACAUUGGGACUGAGAUACGGCCCAGACUCCUACGGGAGGCAGCAGGGGGGAAUAUUGCACAAUGGGUGGAAGCCGGAUGCAGCAACGCCGUGUGCGGGAUGACGGCCUUCGGGUUGUAAACCGCUUUCGCUCAUGACGAAGCUUUGUGUGACGGUAGUGGGUAAAGAAGCACCGGCUAACUACGUG
rnacentral:rRNA from 1 species